UACGUAGGGUGCGAGCGUUGUCCGGAAUUAUUGGGCGUAAAGGGCUCGUAGGCGGUUUGUCGCGUCGGGGAGUGAAAACACCGGGCUUAACUCGGUGCUUGCUUUCGAUACGGGCAGACUAGAGGUAUGCAGGGGGAGAACGGAAUUCCUGGUGUAGCGGUGAAAUGCGCAGAUAUCAGGAGGAACACCGGUGGCGAAGGCGGUUCUCUGGGCAUUACCUGACGCUGAGGAGCGAAAGUGUGGGGGAGCGAACAGG
rnacentral:rRNA from 1 species